GGUUAAGCGACUAAGCGUACACGGUGGAUGCCCUGGCAGUCAGAGGCGAUGAAGGACGUGCUAAUCUGCGAAAAGCGUCGGUAAGGUGAUAUGAACCGUUAUAGCCGGCGAUGUCCGAAUGGGGAAACCCAGUGCAAUUCGUUGCACUAUCGUUAACUGAAUACAUAGGUUAACGAGGCGAACCGGGGGAACUGAAACAUCUAAGUACCCCGAGGAAAAGAAAUCAACCGAGAUUCCCCCAGUAGCGGCGAGCGAACGGGGAGCAGCCCAGAGUCUGAAUCAGCUUGUGUGUUAGUGGAACGGUCUGGAAAGUCCGACGGUACAGGGUGAUAGUCCCGUACACCAAAAUGCACAGGCUGUGAACUCGAAGAGUAGGGCGGGACACGUGGUAUCCUGUCUGAAUAUGGGGGGACCAUCCUCCAAGGCUAAAUACUCCUGACUGACCGAUAGUGAACCAGUACCGUGAGGGAAAGGCGAAAAGAACCCCGGCGAGGGGAGUGAAAAAGAACCUGAAACCGUGUACGUACAAGCAGUGGGAGCACCUUCGGGUGUGACUGCGUACCUUUUGUAUAAUGGGUCAGCGACUUAUAUUCUGUAGCAAGGUUAACCGUAUAGGGGAGCCGCAGGGAAACCGAGUCUUAACUGGGCGUUAAGUUGCAGGGUAUAGACCCGAAACCCGGUGAUCUAGCCAUGGGCAGGUUGAAGGUUGGGUAACACUAACUGGAGGACCGAACCGACUAAUGUUGAAAAAUUAGCGGAUGACUUGUGGCUGGGGGUGAAAGGCCAAUCAAACCGGGAGAUAGCUGGUUCUCCCCGAAAGCUAUUUAGGUAGCGCCUCGUGAACUCAUCUUCGGGGGUAGAGCACUGUUUCGGCUAGGGGGUCAUCCCGACUUACCAACCCGAUGCAAACUACGAAUACCGAAGAAUGUUAUCACGGGAGACACACGGCGGGUGCUAACGUCCGUCGUGAAGAGGGAAACAACCCAGACCGCCAGCUAAGGUCCCAAAGUCAUGGUUAAGUGGGAAACGAUGUGGGAAGGCACAGACAGCCAGGAUGUUGGCUUAGAAGCAGCCAUCAUUUAAAGAAAGCGUAAUAGCUCACUGGUCGAGUCGGCCUGCGCGGAAGAUGUAACGGGGCUAAACCAUGCACCGAAGCUGCGGCAGCGACACUAUGUGUUGUUGGGUAGGGGAGCGUUCUGUAAGCCUGCGAAGGUGACCUGUGAGGGUUGCUGGAGGUAUCAGAAGUGCGAAUGCUGACAUAAGUAACGAUAAAGCGGGUGAAAAGCCCGCUCGCCGGAAGACCAAGGGUUCCUGUCCAACGUUAAUCGGGGCAGGGUGAGUCGACCCCUAAGGCGAGGCCGAAAGGCGUAGUCGAUGGGAAACAGGUUAAUAUUCCUGUACUUGGUGUUACUGCGAAGGGGGGACGGAGAAGGCUAUGUUAGCCGGGCGACGGUUGUCCCGGUUUAAGCAUGUAGGCUGGUUAUCCAGGCAAAUCCGGAUAAUCAAGGCUGAGGUGUGAUGACGAGGCACUACGGUGCUGAAGUAACAAAUGCCCUGCUUCCAGGAAAAGCCUCUAAGCAUCAGGUAACAUCAAAUCGUACCCCAAACCGACACAGGUGGUCAGGUAGAGAAUACCAAGGCGCUUGAGAGAACUCGGGUGAAGGAACUAGGCAAAAUGGUGCCGUAACUUCGGGAGAAGGCACGCUGGUGUGUAGGUGAAGUCCCUGCGGAUGGAGCUGAGACCAGUCGAAGAUACCAGCUGGCUGCAACUGUUUAUUAAAAACACAGCACUGUGCAAACACGAAAGUGGACGUAUACGGUGUGACGCCUGCCCGGUGCCGGAAGGUUAAUUGAUGGGGUUAUCCGUAAGGAGAAGCUCUUGAUCGAAGCCCCGGUAAACGGCGGCCGUAACUAUAACGGUCCUAAGGUAGCGAAAUUCCUUGUCGGGUAAGUUCCGACCUGCACGAAUGGCGUAAUGAUGGCCAGGCUGUCUCCACCCGAGACUCAGUGAAAUUGAACUCGCUGUGAAGAUGCAGUGUACCCGCGGCAAGACGGAAAGACCCCGUGAACCUUUACUAUAGCUUGACACUGAACAUUGAGCCUUGAUGUGUAGGAUAGGUGGGAGGCUUUGAAGCGUGGACGCCAGUCUGCGUGGAGCCAACCUUGAAAUACCACCCUUUAAUGUUUGAUGUUCUAACGUUGGCCCCUGACCGGGGUUGCGGACAGUGUCUGGUGGGUAGUUUGACUGGGGCGGUCUCCUCCCAAAGCGUAACGGAGGAGCACGAAGGUUAGCUAAUCCUGGUCGGACAUCAGGAGGUUAGUGCAAUGGCAUAAGCUAGCUUGACUGCGAGCGUGACGGCGCGAGCAGGUGCGAAAGCAGGUCAUAGUGAUCCGGUGGUUCUGAAUGGAAGGGCCAUCGCUCAACGGAUAAAAGGUACUCCGGGGAUAACAGGCUGAUACCGCCCAAGAGUUCAUAUCGACGGCGGUGUUUGGCACCUCGAUGUCGGCUCAUCACAUCCUGGGGCUGAAGUAGGUCCCAAGGGUAUGGCUGUUCGCCAUUUAAAGUGGUACGCGAGCUGGGUUUAGAACGUCGUGAGACAGUUCGGUCCCUAUCUGCCGUGGGCGCUGGAGAAUUGAGGGGGGCUGCUCCUAGUACGAGAGGACCGGAGUGGACGCAUCACUGGUGUUCGGGUUGUCAUGCCAAUGGCACUGCCCGGUAGCUAAAUGCGGAAGAGAUAAGUGCUGAAAGCAUCUAAGCACGAAACUUGCCCCGAGAUGAGUUCUCCCUGAGACUAUAAGUCUCCUGAAGGAACGUUAAAGACGAUGACGUUGAUAGGCCGGGUGUGUAAGCGCAGCGAUGCGUUGAGCUAACCGGUACUAAUGAACCGUGAGGCUUAACCUU
rnacentral:rRNA from 1 species